GAUGAACGCUAGCGGCAGGCUUAAUACAUGCAAGUCGUGGGGCAGCAUGAGUGUAGCAAUACAUUUGAUGGCGACCGGCAAACGGGUGCGGAACACGUACACAACCUUCCUAUAAGUGGGGAAUAGCCCAGAGAAAUUUGGAUUAAUACCCCGUAACAUAAUGAUGUGGCAUCACAUUGUUAUUAUAGCUUCGGCGCUUAUUGAUGGGUGUGCGGCUGAUUAGAUAGUUGGCGGGGUAACGGCCCACCAAGUCUACGAUCAGUAGCUGAUGUGAGAGCAGGAUCAGCCACACGGGCACUGAGACACGGGCCCGACUCCUACGGGAGGCAGCAGUAAGGAAUAUUGGUCAAUGGACGCAAGUCUGAACCAGCCAUGCCGCGUGAAGGAUUAAGGUCCCCUGGAUUGUAAACUUCUUUUAUCUGGGACGAAAAAAGGCGAUUCUUCGUCACUUGACGGUACCAGAUGAAUAAGCACCGGCUAACUCCGUGCCAGCCGCCGCCGUAAGAC
rnacentral:rRNA from 1 species